rnacentral:rRNA from 1 species
UGGGGAAUUUUGGACAAUGGGCGAAAGCCUGAUCCAGCAAUGCCGCGUGUGUGAAGAAGGCCUUCGGGUUGUAAAGCACUUUUGUCCGGAAAGAAAUCCUUGGCUCUAAUACAGUCGGGGGAUGACGGUACCGGAAGAAUAAGCACCGGCUAACUACGUGCCAGCAGCCGCGGUAAUACGUAGGGUGCAAGCGUUAAUCGGAAUUACUGGGCGUAAAGCGUGCGCAGGCGGUUUGCUAAGACCGAUGUGAAAUCCCCGGGCUCAACCUGGGAACUGCAUUGGUGACUGGCAGGCUAGAGUAUGGCAGAGGGGGGUAGAAUUCCACGUGUAGCAGUGAAAUGCGUAGAGAUGUGGAGGAAUACCGAUGGCGAAGGCAGCCCCCUGGGCCAAUACUGACGCUCAUGCACGAAAGCGUGGGGAGCAAACAGGAUUAGAUACCCCUGGUAGUCCACGCCCUAAAACGAUGUCAACUAGUUGUUGGGGAUUCAUUUCCUUAGUAACGUAGCAACGCGUGAAGUUGACCGCCUGGGGAGUACGGUCGCAAGAUUAAAACUUAAAUGAAUUGACGGGGUCAUAGCUGUUUCCU